rnacentral:tRNA from 1 species
GCGGGUGUGGCGAAAUUGGCAGACGCGCCAGACUUAGGAUCUGGUGCCGUGAGGCAUGGGGGUUCAAGUCCCUCCACCCGCA